AUUGAACGCUGGCGGCAUGCCUUACACAUGCAAGUCGAACGGUAACAGGUCUUCGGAUGCUGACGAGUGGCGAACGGGUGAGUAAUACAUCGGAACGUGCCCGAUCGUGGGGGAUAACGGAGCGAAAGCUUUGCUAAUACCGCAUACGAUCUACGGAUGAAAGCAGGGGACCGCAAGGCCUUGCGCGGACGGAGCGGCCGGUGGCAGAUUAGGUAGUUGGUGGGAUAAAAGCUUACCAAGCCGACGAUCUGUAGCUGGUCUGAGAGGACGACCAGCCACACUGGGACUGAGACACGGCCCAGACUCCUACGGGAGGCAGCAGUGGGGAAUUUUGGACAAUGGGCGAAAGCCUGAUCCAGCCAUGCCGCGUGCAGGAUGAAGGCCUUCGGGUUGUAAACUGCUUUUGUACGGAACGAAAAGACUCUUUCUAAUAAAGAGGGUCCAUGACGGUACCGUAAGAAUAAGCACCGGCUAACUACGUG
rnacentral:rRNA from 1 species